UGCAGUCGAACGAUGAAGCCCAGCUUGCUGGGUGGAUUAGUGGCGAACGGGUGAGUAACACGUGAGUAACCUGCCCUUAACUCUGGGAUAAGCCUGGGAAACUGGGUCUAAUACCGGAUAGGAGCGUCUACCGCAUGGUGGGUGUUGGAAAGAUUUAUCGGUUUUGGAUGGACUCGCGGCCUAUCAGCUUGUUGGUGAGGUAAUGGCUCACCAAGGCGACGACGGGUAGCCGGCCUGAGAGGGUGACCGGCCACACUGGGACUGAGACACGGCCCAGACUCCUACGGGAGGCAGCAGUGGGGAAUAUUGCACAAUGGGCGCAAGCCUGAUGCAGCGACGCCGCGUGAGGGAUGACGGCCUUCGGGUUGUAAACCUCUUUCAGUAGGGAAGAAGCGAAAGUGACGGUACCUGCAGAAGAAGCACCGGCUAACUACGUGCCAGCAGCCGCGGUAAUACGUAGGGUGCGAGCGUUAUCCGGAAUUAUUGGGCGUAAAGAGCUCGUAGGCGGUUUGUCGCGUCUGUCGUGAAAGUCCGGGGCUUAACCCCGGAUCUGCGGUGGGUACGGGCAGACUAGAGUGCAGUAGGGGAGACUGGAAUUCCUGGUGUAGCGGUGGAAUGCGCAGAUAUCAGGAGGAACACCGAUGGCGAAGGCAGGUCUCUGGGCUGUAACUGACGCUGAGGAGCGAAAGCAUGGGGAGCGAACAGGAUUAGAUACCCUGGUAGUCCAUGCCGUAAACGUUGGGCACUAGGUGUGGGGACCAUUCCACGGUUUCCGCGCCGCAGCUAACGCAUUAAGUGCCCCGCCUGGGGAGUACGGCCGCAAGGCUAAAACUCAAAGGAAUUGACGGGGGCCCGCACAAGCGGCGGAGCAUGCGGAUUAAUUCGAUGCAACGCGAAGAACCUUACCAAGGCUUGACAUGUUCUCGAUCGCCGUAGAGAUACGGUUUCCCCUUUGGGGCGGGUUCACAGGUGGUGCAUGGUUGUCGUCAGCUCGUGUCGUGAGAUGUUGGGUUAAGUCCCGCAACGAGCGCAACCCUCGUUCCAUGUUGCCAGCACGUCGUGGUGGGGACUCAUGGGAGACUGCCGGGGUCAACUCGGAGGAAGGUGAGGACGACGUCAAAUCAUCAUGCCCCUUAUGUCUUGGGCUUCACGCAUGCUACAAUGGCCGGUACAAUGGGUUGCGAUAC
rnacentral:rRNA from 1 species